GAGGGUGUGGCUCAAGUAGUAGAGCGCAUACUUAGCAUGCAGGAGGUCCUGGGUUCAAUUCCCAGCAUCUCCC
rnacentral:tRNA from 1 species